CGCUUAGAGUCGGCUAAAUCAAGUGGAGAGAGGAAAGCAGACAUCAAACCUGUCCUAUCUAAGCCCCAAACCAAUGAGACCAGACAGUUCCAAGUCAAAGAAGAAGAAUUGAAAAAGGAGAAGAGGAAACUGGUUGAAGAAGAGGUUGUAGAGUCUGGCAAGGUUACUAUGAAAGUAUUUCUAACCUACUUCCGGGCUAUUGGGUUAUUGCCGAUGUUGAUCGCGAUGGUUAUGUACGCAUUAUUUCAAGCAACGUCUGUAACGUCAACUACGUGGCUCAGCAAAUGGACUGACGACACUUCGCUAGGAAACCUGACAACGCUGCCUUCCAACAGCACAGCCCGAAUUGAGAAAAAUGAAUAUUAC